rnacentral:rRNA from 1 species
UACGUAGGGCGCAAGCGUUGUCCGGAAUUAUUGGGCGUAAAGAGCUCGUAGGCGGUUUGUCGCGUCUGCUGUGUAAACCUAAGGCUCAACCUUGGGCUUGCAGUGGGUACGGGCAGACUAGAGUGCGGUAGGGGUGACUGGAAUUCCUGGUGUAGCGGUGGAAUGCGCAGAUAUCAGGAGGAACACCGAUGGCGAAGGCAGGUCACUGGGCCGCAACUGACGCUGAGGAGCGAAAGCAUGGGGAGCGAACAGG